AGCAGCCGCGGUAAUUCCAGCUCCAAUAGCGUAUAUUAAAGUUGUUGCAGUUAAAAAGCUCGUAGUUGAAUUUCGGGGUUAGCAAGUUGGUCGUGCCUUCGGUAUGUACUGGCUUUGCUGAUUCCUCCUUCUUGAAGAACUGUGAUGCUAUUAAUUUGGUGUUGCAGGGAAACAGGACUGUUACUUUGAAAAAAUUAGAGUGCUUAAAGCAGGCUAACGCUUGAAUACAUUAGCAUGGAAUAAUGAAAUAGGACGUUUGAUCCUAUUUUGUUGGUUUCUAGGAUUGACGUAAUGAUUAAUAGGGAUAGUUGGGGGCAUUAGUAUUCAAUUGUCAGAGGUGAAAUUCUUGGAUUUAUUGAAGA
rnacentral:rRNA from 1 species